GACGAACGCUGGCGGCGUGCUUAACACAUGCAAGUCGAACGGAAAGGCCCUGCUUUUGUGGGGUGCUCGAGUGGCGAACGGGUGAGUAACACGUGAGUAACCUGCCCUUGACUUUGGGAUAACUUCAGGAAACUGGGGCUAAUACCGGAUAGGAGCUCCUGCUGCAUGGUGGGGGUUGGAAAGUUUCGGCGGUGGGGGAUGGACUCGCGGCUUAUCAGCUUGUUGGUGGGGUAGUGGCUUACCAAGGCUGUGACGGGUAGCCGGCCUGAGAGGGUGACCGGCCACAUUGGGACUGAGAUGCGGCCCAGACUCCUACGGGAGGCAGCAGUGGGGAAUAUUGCACAAUGGGCGGAAGCCUGAUGCAGCAACGCCGCGUGCGGGAUGACGGCCUUCGGGUUGUAAACCGCUUUCGCCUGUGACGAAGCGUGAGUGACGGUAAUGGGUAAAGAAGCACCGGCUAACUACGUG
rnacentral:rRNA from 1 species